rnacentral:tRNA from 1 species
GCCUAGCUGGCUCAGCUGGUAGAGCAUGUGACUCUUGAUCUUCAGGUUGUGAGUUCCAUCCCCAUGUUGGGCA